rnacentral:rRNA from 1 species
UACGUAGGGGGCAAGCGUUGUCCGGAAUCAUUGGGCGUAAAGAGCGUGUAGGCGGCCCGGUAAGUCCGCCGUGAAAGUCCAGGGCUCAACCCUGGAAUGCCGGUGGAAACUGCCGGGCUGGAGUCCGGAAGAGGCGAGUGGAAUUCCUGGUGUAGCGGUGAAAUGCGCAGAUAUCAGGAAGAACACCCGUGGCUAAGGCGGUUCUCUAGUACGGUACUGACGCUGAGACGCGAAAGCGUGGGGAGCGAACAGG